GGAAAGAUGCCGGAGUGGUUGAACGGGGCGGUCUCGAAAACCGUUGUACCCUUACGGGUACCCAGGGUUCGAAUCCCUGUCUUUCCG
rnacentral:tRNA from 2 species